rnacentral:tRNA from 1 species
UGGCUCAGUGGUUAAGAGCGCUGGUUGCUCUUCCAGAGGACCUGGGUUCAAUUCCCAG